AUAAUACUCCCUUCCUCCCAAGUUUUUUGUCUUAGGUUUGUUUAGAAAUUGAUGUAUCUAAAUACUAAAACGUAAUUAGAUACAUUCAUAUAUCAAACAAAUCAAAGAUAAGAAUUUUGAGACGGAGGGUGUACCUA
rfam:Hordeum vulgare subsp. vulgare, WGS project CAJW01000000 data, contig: morex_contig_1562819